rnacentral:rRNA from 1 species
AGAGUUUGAUCCUGGCUCAGGACGAACGCUGGCGGCGUGCUUAACACAUGCAAGUCGAACGUGAUUUUUGUGGAAAUUCUUUCGGGAAUGGAAAUGAAAUGAAAGUGGCGAACGGGUGAGUAACACGUGAGCAACCUACCUUACACAGGGGGAUAGCCGUUGGAAACGACGAUUAAUACCGCAUGAGACCACAGAAUCGCAUGAUAUAGGGGUCAAAGAUUUAUCGGUGUAAGAAGGGCUCGCGUCUGAUUAGCUAGUUGGAAGGGUAAAGGCCUACCAAGGCGACGAUCAGUAGCCGGUCUGAGAGGAUGAACGGCCACAUUGGAACUGAGACACGGUCCAAACUCCUACGGGAGGCAGCAGUGGGGAAUAUUGCACAAUGGGGGGAACCCUGAUGCAGCGACGCCGCGUGAGCGAAGAAGGUUUUCGAAUCGUAAAGCUCUGUCCUAUGAGAAGAUAAUGACGGUAUCAUAGGAGGAAGCCCCGGCUAAAUACGUGCCAGCAGCCGCGGUAAUACGUAUGGGGCGAGCGUUGUCCGGAAUUAUUGGGCGUAAAGGGUACGUAGGCGGUUUUUUAAGUCAGGUGUGAAAGCGUGAGGCUUAACCUCAUUAAGCACUUGAAACUGGAAGACUUGAGUGAAGGAGAGGAAAGUGGAAUUCCUAGUGUAGCGGUGAAAUGCGUAGAUAUUAGGAGGAAUACCGGUGGCGAAGGCGACUUUCUGGACUUUUACUGACGCUCAGGUACGAAAGCGUGGGGAGCAAACAGGAUUAGAUACCCUGGUAGUCCACGCCGUAAACG